rnacentral:rRNA from 1 species
UACGAAGGGGGCUAGCGUUGUUCGGAUUUACUGGGCGUAAAGCGCACGUAGGCGGACUUUUAAGUCAGGGGUGAAAUCCCAGAGCUCAACUCUGGAACUGCCUUUGAUACUGGAAGUCUUGAGUAUGGAAGAGGUUGGUGGAACUGCGAGUGUAGAGGUGAAAUUCGUAGAUAUUCGCAAGAACACCAGUGGCGAAGGCAAUCCCCUGGACCUGUACUGACGCUCAUGCACGAAAGCGUGGGGAGCAAACAGG